GCCCGGCUAGCUCAGUCGGUAGAGCAUAAGACUCUUAAUCUCAGGGUCGUGCGUUCGUGCCCCACGUUGGGCG
rnacentral:tRNA from 1 species